rnacentral:snRNA from 1 species
AGCUUUGCACAGUGGCAAUAUCAUAGCCAAUGAGGUUAACCCAAGGUGCAAUUAUUGCUAAUUAAAAAAUGGAAAAUUGAAUCCUG